UGGGGAAUAUUGCACAAUGGGCGCAAGCCUGAUGCAGCAACGCCGCGUGAGGGACGACGGCCUUCGGGUUGUAAACCUCUUUUAGUAGGGAAGAAGCGAAAGUGACGGUACCUGCAGAAAAAGCACCGGCUAACUACGUGCCAGCAGCCGCGGUAAUACGUAGGGUGCGAGCGUUGUCCGGAAUUAUUGGGCGUAAAGAGCUCGUAGGCGGUCUGUCGCGUCUGCUGUGAAAACCCGAGGCUCAACCUCGGGCCCUGCAGUGGGUACGGGCAGACUAGAGUGCGGUAGGGGAGAAUGGAAUUCCUGGUGUAGCGGUGGAAUGCGCAGAUAUCAGGAGGAACACCGAUGGCGAAGGCAGUUCUCUGGGCCGUAACUGACGCUGAGGAGCGAAAGCGUGGGGAGCGAACAGGAUUAGAUACCCUGGUAGUCCACGCCGUAAACGUU
rnacentral:rRNA from 1 species